UGCAGUCAUGUCAAAUUCAGCGCCUACCAUACAGAUGGCAGGUUUCUGGCCCAAAAGGCUGCCAUAGAAAUACUGUGACUCAUGGACUCUGUACCCCUUACCUAGGCUCAGGGAUAAAUUUGGUCACAGACAUCA
ensembl:snoRNA